AUGCUACUGAUGCACAUUUACAAAAACUGGAAUAAUAUGGGGAAGAUUAGCAUUGCCCCUUAACAAGAAUGAAAUGCAAAUUCUUGAAGCAUUAUUAUAUUAG